CGCGAAACGUUUGUUCGCCACCACAGCAACCUAACCUAUAUUUAUUGUAUUUUUAUCAUUGAUGAUAAAAACAAUAAAUAUUUGCGUAUUUUUAUCAUCAAUCAUAAACAUUCAAUAAAUACGGUGUAUUUUGUUAGGUUACUGUGGUGGCGAACAAACGUUUCGUG